UACGGGGGGGGCAAGCGUUGUUCGGAAUUACUGGGCGUAAAGGGCUCGUAGGUGGCCAACUAAGUCAUACGUGAAAUCCCUCGGCUUAACCGGGGAACUGCGUCUGAUACUGGAUGGCUUGAGGUUGGGAGAGGGAUGCGGAAUUCCAGGUGUAGCGGUGAAAUGCGUAGAUAUCUGGAGGAACACCGGUGGCGAAGGCGGCAUCCUGGACCAAUUCUGACGCUGAGGAGCGAAAGCCAGGGGAGCAAACGGG
rnacentral:rRNA from 1 species